CCUACGGGGGGCAGCAGUGAGGAAUAUUGGUCAAUGGGCGAGAGCCUGAACCAGCCAAGUCGCGUGAAGGAUGACGGCCCUACGGGUUGUAAACUUCUUUUGUCAGGGAGCAAUUGGGUCCACGCGUGGGCUUAGCGAGAGUACCUGAAGAAAAAGCAUCGGCUAACUCCGUGCCAGCAGCCGCGGUAAUACGGAGGAUGCGAGCGUUAUCCGGAUUUAUUGGGUUUAAAGGGAGCGUAGACGGUGCGCCAAGUCUGGAGUGAAAUGCCGUAGCUUAACUGCAGAACUGCAUUUGAAACUGGCAAACUAGAGUGCGGGAGGGGUAAGCGGAAUUCUUGGUGUAGGGGUGAAAUGCGUAGAGAUUAGGAGGAACACCGGUGGCGAAGGCGACUUACUGGACCGUAACUGACGUUGAGGCUCGAAAGCGUGGGGAGCAAACAGGAUUAGAUACCCUUGUAGUC
rnacentral:rRNA from 1 species